GUCAUCGAUCCCUGCCAUCUAUGGAGCAAAGUAAUACAAACCGUCCGAUUAAAAGAUAAUCAAUGGUCAAUAUGACAAGUACACUACAGAUCCUUGUUUCACCUUCUCUUUUUUCACAAUCAUCUCUCAUCACCGAACAAUUAUCAUUUUCCUUCAAUCCUCUCUUUUGUUUAUUCAUCUCACCCAUCGUUUCUUAUUCCUUUUCACUCGAUUAGUGACAACUCACAGUUCUCACUCGAGCUCCGACAAUAUUCCUACAGACUCAACUCACAUUUUUCUCAUGAUUGACUCAAAUCCUCCAUGUCGAUGAAAAAAGCCGACUCAACUCACCGUUCUCUCAGAAUAUGUCAAGAUAGAAGAGAUCUGAUCAAGGAAUUAAGAAGUGGUCCUUCGAUGGGCUUGCGGCGAUGGAAAGGGCAAAUCUUUUGUGUAGCAUAUUAAGGUUUUAAGUUUGAGAGGAAGAAAGACGCACGGUAGCAGUUGUAGAGGGAAUCUCUUACUUUCUCGUGACCUAAGAAUCACACAAGAGUGUGAUCGUCAAAACGCAUAGCAGAUGAUCGUGAAGCUAACUGGGCCUCAUUUGCACCACUCGGCCCGUAUCCAGAAAACCAAUUUGAUCCAAUUGACUAAAGCUAAAUCGUAUACACAGUUUGGUUUCAAUUCGUGUGUUUAAAGUACAAGAGUUCUAUUGAUCAAUCUUUAAUAUGUACUUUCACUU